CGGGAUGUGGCGCAGCUUGGUAGCGCGUUCGACUGGGGGUCGAGAGGUCGCAAGUUCAAAUCUUGUCAUCCCGA
rnacentral:tRNA from 1 species